AUUGAACGCUGGCGGCAGGCCUAACACAUGCAAGUCGAGCGAGCGGCGGACGGGUGAGUAAUGUAUGGGGAACUGCCUGAUAGAGGGGGAUAACUACUGGAAACGGUGGCUAAUACCGCAUACUAUCGGAUGUACCCAUAUGGGAUUAGCUAGUAGGUGGGGUAAAGGCUCACCUAGGCGACGAUCCCUAGCUGGUCUGAGAGGAUGACCAGCCACACUGGGACUGAGACACGGCCCAGACUCCUACGGGAGGCAGCAGUGGGGAAUAUUGCACAAUGGGCGCAAGCCUGAUGCAGCCAUGCCGCGUGUGUGAAGAAGGCCUUAGGGUUGUAAAGCACUUUCAGCGGGGAGGCGUUACUCGCAGAAGAAGCACCGGCUAACUCCGUGCCAGCAGCCGCGGUAAUAC
rnacentral:rRNA from 1 species